UACGUUUGAUCGGUUGGUAGCAUCAUGUUGUAUUUCCAACCUAUAUAUCUAGGGUUUGAUGCAAAGCGCUUGGCUUGUUUAUUUUUUAUAGGUCAUGUUCGAAUUCGUUUUUAUUCUAAUAGCUCACCUCAGGUAUCUGCUAUAUAAAUCAGACCCAAUUAGGGAACAAAUGCUGCUGGGUGCGCGUUUCGAUAAUUUCCGAUGUAGGUUUGUUUCUUAGAUAUAUACAUUUUGUUCUAAUAUAUUCAUGUACAAUUUCAGCUUUGUUUAAAUACUACAGAUUGUACUUGUACAAGUGAUACUUUUACAAUUUCAGUUAGACGAUUACUUAAUUGUGUUGUGCAUCUGUCAAAAAUACAAUGGACGCAAAUACGACUGAAACUAUUGUGUUGGCAUCGGGAUUAUUGUAAUCGUAGUGAAACAACGAACGGGAUUAUUAGCAGUUAAAUACCUAAUUUAGCCACAGUUAGACCAUAACAUAUAAUUAAGACUAGUACUUUGGUGUGAAACCGAAUUCAAGGAGGCUUGGGAAAUGACGUAAAAAUACAAAUAUGUUAAGAUAUGAGUGAAUCCCAAAUGUGAUAUCAUCUUUUAAAGACAAGGGAGGAAAUUAGAGUGCUGAAACUAAUGAAAAUUAAAUUAUGUUGCGCAUAACGGACGAAAUGGAGAUGGACGCGAAUGCGGUUGUUGCGAAUGCUAAUCUACAGUUAGACCACAAGAGAGGAGAUUUAAUUUACGCAAACUUAUGAAGAGAUGACGAAAAAAAGAUAUUUUAUAGGUAACUUACUAUGUGGAUAUACAAUUUCGUUAUGUCAAUUAAUAAUUACAAUGUAUUUAUGGAGAUUUCGGAACGCAUUUUGUGUAUUUGUAUGGAUAGAUAUGCAUAAUUUUAUAGUUUAAGGUAUUGUGGAAUACAGACUCAUCUUCCUGUUGUAUUUCUCUAAUAUUUGCAGCAAAUUUUCUUCUAGUCUAGCCGUGCCCGAUGACUUGUAUAUUCACCCGAUGACUUGUAUAUUCAGGGGAUGAAAGAUUCAUUCGUUGCAUCGAAAGAAAAGACCUCGGUGUAGAAAAAAUUAUCUAAAUACAAUCCUAUUUAAUAAAUAGAUUUCUCAGUUAGUUAAUAUAUAAGGUAUAUAACAAAUAUA